GGUUCCGUGGUUUAGUUGGUCAUAACGUUCGCCUAACAAUUUAAAGGUACGCGAAAGGUCCCCAGUUCGAUCCUGGGCGGAAUCA
rnacentral:tRNA from 1 species